rnacentral:rRNA from 1 species
CCUACGGGUGGCAGCAGUGGGGGAUAUUGCACAAUGGGGGGAACCCUGAUGCAGCGACGCCGCGUGGGUGAAGGAGCGUUUCGGCGCGUAAAGCCCUGUCGGCAGGGAAGAAGGAGGGCGGUACCUGACUAAGAAGCCCCGGCCAACUACGUGCCCGCAGCCGCGGUAAUACGUAGGGGGCAAGCGUUGUCCGGAUUUACUGGGGGUAAAGGGGGCGCAGACGGCAGGGCAAGCCAGGAGGGAAAGCCCGGGGCCCAACCCCGGGACUGCGGUUGGAACUGGGCGGCUGGAGUGCAGGAGGGGCAGGCGGAAUGCCUGGUGUAGCGGUGAAAUGCGUAGAUAUCAGGAGGAACACCGGUGGCGAAGGCGGCCUGCGGGACCGCGACUGACGUUGAGGCCCGAAAGCGUGGGGAGCAAACAGGAUUAGAUACCCCUGUAGUC